rnacentral:rRNA from 2 species
UGAGGUUAAGUUAACAAGGGCGCAUGGUGAAUGCCUUGGCACUAGGAGCCGAUGAAGGACGGGACUAACACCGAUAUGCUUCGGGGAGCUGUACGUAAGCUAUGAUCCGGAGAUUUCCGAAUGGGGCAACCCAGCAGUUUUAAUCAACUGUUACCACUAGAUGAAUUCAUAGUCUAGUUGGAGGUAAACGCUGUGAACUGAAACAUCUCAUUAGCAGCAGGAAUAUAAAGAAAUUUCGAUUCCCUAAGUAGCGGCGAGCGAACGGGGAACAGCCCAAACCAAAGUGCUUGCACUUUGGGGUUGUAGGACUGAACAUUUGAGUUACCAAAGAACUUGAUAGUCGAAGGAUUUGGGAAAAUCCGCCAUAGAUGGUGAUAGCCCAGUAGAUUAAAUCAAAUUCUCUCAGUUCAGGAUCCUGAGUACGGCGGAACACGUGAAAUUCCGUCGGAAUCCGGGAGGACCAUCUCCCAAGGCUAAAUACUACCUAGUGACCGAUAGUGAACCAGUACCGUGAGGGAAAGGUGAAAAGCACCCCGGGAGGGGAGUGAAAUAGUUCCUGAAACCAUGUGCCUACAAUAAGUCAGAGCGCGUUAAUGCGUGAUGGCGUGCCUUUUGUAGAAUGAACCGGCGAGUUAUGAUCCCGUGCAAGGUUAAGACUAAAAAGUCGGAGCCGUAGCGAAAGCGAGUCUGAAAUGGGCGUUUUGAGUACGAGGUUAUAGACCCGAAACCAGGUGACCUAUCCAUGUCCAGGUUGAAGGUGCGGUAAAACGCACUGGAGGACCGAACCCGUGUAAGUUGAAAAUUGCUGGGAUGAGGUGUGGAUAGCGGUGAAAUUCCAAACGAACUUGGAGAUAGCUGGUUCUCUCCGAAAUAGCUUUAGGGCUAGCCUCGGAAUUAGGAUCAUGGAGGUAGAGCACUAUUUGGACUAGGGGCCCGUCUUGGGUUACUGAAUUCAGAUAAACUCCGAAUGCCAUUGAUUCAUAUCCGGGAGUCAGACGAUGAGUGAUAAGAUCCACCGUCGAAAGGGGAACAGCCCAGACCAUCAGUUAAGGUCCCUAAAUGUAUGCUAAGUGGAAAAGGAUGUGGAGUUGCAUAGACAACUAGGAUGUUGGCUCAGAAGCAGCCACCAUUUAAAGAGUGCGUAAUAGCUCACUAGUCGAGUGAUCCUGCGCCGAAAAUGUACCGGGGCUAAGCAUACUACCGAAACCAUGGAUGCGACCAUUAGGUCGCGUGAUAGGAGAGCGUUCUAAGGGCGGUGAAGCAAGAUCGUGAGGACUUGUGGAGCGCUUAGAAGUGAGAAUGCCGGUAUGAGUAGCGAAAGAUAGGUGAGAAUCCUAUCCACCGAAUGACUAAGGUUUCCUGGGGAAGGCUCGUCCUCCCAGGGUUAGUCGGGACCUAAGUCGAGGCCGAGAGGCGUAGACGAUGGAUAACAGGUUGAGAUUCCUGUACUAGUUAAGUGCGUUUGAGCAAUGGAGGGACGCAGGAGGCUAAGAUGUGCAUUCUGUUGGAUUAGAAUGUCCAAGCAGUAAGUCUUGUGAAGAGUCAAAUGCUUUUCACUUUAAGGACAAGCUGUGAUGGGGAGCGAAAUUUAGUAGCGAAGCGUCUGAUGUCACACUGCCGAGAAAAGCUUCUAGUGAGUACUUAACUACCCGUACCGCAAACCGACACAGGUAGUCGAGGAGAGAAUCCUAAGGUGAGCGAGUGAACUCUCGUUAAGGAACUCGGCAAAAUGACCCCGUAACUUCGGGAGAAGGGGUGCUGAUC